GAGAAAAGCAUUGAGGGGGCGGAGGUUGAUGACCGGACGCACACCCCCACCUUUCUUCGGGACUAGAAACAGGUUGCUUGUAAAGCCCUGUUGAGUAAACGGGACCUCUUGUAUUGCACCUUUGGUGCGUAGUUCCAUGAUCUCCGAAGAGAUCAAUUCUUCCUGCUCUCGAGCUAGCGAGAGUUCCCUGGGGACAAAAGUUUGAACAGGAAAAGACACAAAAUCUAUGUGGUAACCCUGCACUGUUUGAAGAACCCAAGC